rnacentral:rRNA from 1 species
UACGUAUGGAGCAAGCGUUAUCCGGAUUCAUUGGGCGUAAAGCGCGCGUAGGCGGUCUGUUAGGUCGGGAGUCAAAUCCGGGGGCUCAACCCCUGUCCGCUCCCGAUACCGGCAGACUUGAGUUUGGUAGGGGAAGGUGGAAUCCCAAGUGUAGCGGUGGAAUGCGCAGAUAUUUGGAAGAACACCGGUGGCGAAGGCGGCCUUCUGGGCCAUAACUGACGCUGAGGCGCGAAAGCUAGGGGAGCGAACA